rnacentral:rRNA from 1 species
UACAGAGGGGGCAAGCGUUGUUCGGAAUUACUGGGCGUAAAGGGCGCGUAGGCGGCCUUCUAAGUCGAACGUGAAAUCCCCGGGCUCAACCCGGGAACUGCGUCCGAUACUGGAAGGCUUGAAUCCGGGAGAGGGAUGCGGAAUUCCAGGUGUAGCGGUGAAAGUGCGUAGAUAUCUGGAGGAACACCGGUGGCGAAGGCGGCGUUCUGGAGCUGCAACUGACACUGAGGAACGAAAGCCAGGGUAGCAAACGGG